AACGGCGGUGAAGAGCAGUGCCAGCCUGUGAUCUGCCUGGAACCUCGCACUGGCACUAUAAGGAGAACGCUUGCUGAUUGGUCUAGAGAAAUGUUGUAACUCGGCUGUGCUGGGUUCUGAAAAAGCCUUUCUCCUCGUUCGGUAAUCAUUCGUCCGCUUGAUCUACCCCCAAAGCCCCCGGAGAACUGGCAAACCUGGUUUGCAGUGGCAAAGGGACAAGGCGCUAACCCCCACUGAUCGGUGAACCAGAAAGAGUUCUCCUUAUAACAUCAUAGUGUCACAUUUAUGAUGCCUCAAAGUGGAAUGUAAAGAGUGCUUUCUGAGUGAUACCUGAAGCUGCCCUGUAUUACUGAAGACUGUUCUCCCUUUCGAACCUUGUCCACUUGUGACGAGAUGUGUCGUUCGUAAGUGAUUCCAGUUUGAACGAGUUACUCAUGUGAUCUCGCACAUCCAUGCGCACAUCUAUCACAAAACGAAUCGUCCGUCAGUUCGAUUGACUGACGCUUCGUGCUUCGUACUGCUACAGUUGCGGCUGUAUUGCCCGCUGUCAGUAACUGCUGCUUGCAACUCUUAAGCCACAAACGAAACCACAACUGCCAUCGGCUGGAGGAAACUUAAUAGGGCUUAGUGUAUACACUCGAAGGUUUUGCAAGUACCCUUGGGCUGCCGGCUUGCGAUGUUAGACACGUCUACCAUUUCACUAAACAAACCAAUACAGCUGGCUUUGUUUACAAAUCGCAGGCAGUGCAAGCGAGUGCUGUGCACCACCGUUGUUGAUGAAUGGCGCUAAGUGUAAGAUAGCAUAAAAUAGGGUUAAAUUUUUAAGAGUAACACAAUUGUUAAUUAUUACUCGCAUAUCUGAUUAAAUUUUCGUUGUUAGCGGAGAAUACACUCGAAUGCCCAAGAACCCACGAAGUUCAAAUAACUCGGGUGACGUCGAAAGUUGGCGUCGUCUGCUAUGUCGCUAUGAGCGUUGAUGCUGUUCAAAUCGUUCAAAUGACUCCAACACUGUAGAACGCGUAGAACGUAAAGAAGUGAGGAUGUUCGACAAAAGACAGAGGUUCUGAAUGGGAGCAACAGCUGGGAUGUGUCCUAUUAAAGAAGAACCUCGAAAGGACUCUUUGAAUGAUGAUCCAAUCAUAGAAGUGAAAACAGAGGCUUACAAUGUUGCACCUUUGGCAGGACAGGAACCAAUGGGACACAACUGUGACCCAGUUUCAGGAGGCCGGCACAAAAUGG